AGUUCUCCUCUGUAUAUUCAGUCUGAACAUUUGGUACAAUAUCAUUGGUAGUUAACAGUGUUACUGCAUUGAUUCAGCUGUAAGGUUAGAGGUUAAUUGUGCCAUGUACAGGCAGCAACAUUGUUUUCUCUGUGGCCCAGGUGAGGCAUGCAGUAAAUGUCAAUAGUGCUAAGGUGCAGUCAUCCAUUCAUAAAUUCUUGCUUUUUUGCUGAAACUGGAAACAGUUCAUCCUAUGUGAAGUCAAUUGUGGAAGAUUGGGGAAUCAUCAGUCUCAACGUAACUCGAGAGCGUCUCGGGACAGAGCUUCUGUGUAUGCUGGAAGACUUUCUUGACAUCAUACAGAACGGAAUACAACAGAAGCAGGAAACAUCAAAAAUCACUGUUAACCGUAGAGCAUCGGUUUACAAUUCUUGCAAAAAUCAAGUUAUGAUUUAUGUGUAUGUUGUUAUAAAAACAAUCAAACAGACCUAAAUGUAAUCUGUUAAACUCAGUCUAUUUUGCAUUCAAACAUUGCUUUAAAUAAAGAGACAGGUGAUUUAUUUGAGCAGAGCUUGUUUUCUGCCCCCACUAUUUGGAAAGGCUAAUACGAAAAUACAAAUUUAUAUAUAUAUAUAUAUAU